rnacentral:lncRNA from 1 species
CACACACACAUGCUCACUCUCCCUGUACACACACACUCUCCCUGUACACACACACACAUGCUCACUCUCCCUGUACACACACAUUCUCCCUGUACACACACACUCUCCCUGUACACACACACACAUGCUCACUCUCUCUGUACACACACGCGCAUGCUCACUCUCCUUGUACACACACUCCCUGUACACACACUCCCUGUACACACACACACGCUCACUCUCCCUGUACACACACAUUCUCCCUGUACACACACACUCUCCCUGUACACACACACACAUGCUCACUCUCCCUGUACACACACACACUCUCCCUGUACACACACACACAUGCUCACUCUCCCUGUACACACACAUUCUCCCUGUACACACACACUCUCCCUGUACACACACACACGCUCACUCUCCC